ACUUUAGUAGUUUAAAUUUAAAAUAAUAACUUGUCGAGUUAUAGAAAAUUCUUUGGAUUCUAAAGUA
rnacentral:tRNA from 1 species